rnacentral:rRNA from 1 species
CCGGAAUUCGUCAAGUGUGAGCUGUAACAACAGUAAGAAGCUUCGGCUUUAGUGGCGCACGGGUGAGUAACACGUGAGGUCGCUUUUGGUUCGGGAUAACGUCUGGAAACGGACGCUAAAACGGAUACGCCCUUCAGAGAGAAUGGGCGGAGAAAGUUUACGCCGAGAGAGGGGCCCGCGUCCGAUUAGGUAUUUGGUGGGGUAAUGGCCCACCAAGCCGACGAUCGAGAGCUGGUCUGAGAGAAUGAUCAGCCACACUGGGACUGAGACACUACCCAGACUCCUACGGGGGAAUAUUGGUGGGGAAUAUUGAACAAUGGGGGGCAACCCUGAUCCAGCAAUGCCGCGUGAGUAGGGUUGUGCCUUAGGGUUGUAAAGCUCUUUCGCACGCGACGAUGAUGACAGAAGCGUGAGAAGAAGCGUGGGCUAACUUUUUUUUUAGCAGCCGCGGUAAUACGAAGGGCGCGAAUUACUGUUCGUAAUUACUGCGCGUAAAGGGCGCGUAGGCAGCCCGAUCAGCCAGAGGUUAAAGCCCCGGGGCUGAACCUUGAGACCUGCCUUUUUUAGUUUCCGGGGUUGAAGUUCCGAAGUCCCCAGGGGAAAUCCCAAUUUCGAAGGUAAAAUUCGGAAGAAAUUGGGAAGAAACCCGGUGUCUAACCGGCCAAUUUGGCCGAAACCUUGGGGACCACCCAGGAUUAGUUCCCUGGUAGUCCACGCCGUAACGUGAAUUCCUAGCGCUGGGGUGCAUGCACUCGGGUUUCGCCGCAACGCAUAAGCAUCCGCCUGGGGAGUACGGCCGCAAGGUUAAAACUCAAGGGAAUUGACGGGGGCCCGCCCAAGCGGGUGGAGCAUGUGGUUUUAAUUCGGAAGCAACGCGCAGAACCUUACCAACCCUUGACAUGUCCCACUACCGGCUCGAGAGAUCGGGCUUUCAGUUCGGCUGGGUGGAAAAAAGGUGCUGCAUGGCUGUCGUCAGCUCGUGUCGUGAGAUGUUGGGUUAAGUCCCGCAACGAGCGCAACCCCUACCGCCAGUUGCCAUCAUUCAGUUGGGCACUCUGGUGGAACUGCCGGUGACAAGCCGGAGGAAGGCGGGGAUGACGUCAAGUCCUCAUGGCCCUUAUGGGUUGGGCUACACACGUGCUACAAUGGCGGUGACAGUGGGAUGCGAAGUCGCAAGAUGGAGCCAAUCCCCAAAAGCCGUCUCAGUUCGGAUUGCACUCUGCAACUCGGGUGCAUGAAGUUGGAAUCGCUAGUAAUCGCGGAUCCCCCCGCGGUGAAUACGUUCCCGGCCUGUACACAAACACCCCAUGGAGUGCUACCGAAGGGUCGCUAUACAAGAGUUGAUCAUGGCAGCCCCGGGCAUUCG